rnacentral:rRNA from 1 species
UCUGUAGGGUACCUGCGGAGGGAUCAUUACCGAGUUAUCAACUCCCAAACCCCUGUGAACAUACCUUUUGUUGCCUCGGCGGGAUCGCCCCGGCGCCUUCGGGCCCGGACCCAGGCGCCCGCCGCAGGACCCUAAACUCUUGUUUUCUAUAUGAAUCUUCUGAGUGACACAAGCAAAUAAAUUAAAACUUUCAACAACGGAUCUCUUGGUUCUGGCAUCGAUGAAGAACGCAGCGAAAUGCGAUAAGUAAUGUGAAUUGCAGAAUUCAGUGAAUCAUCGAAUCUUUGAACGCACAUUGCGCCCGGCAGUAUUCUGCCGGGCAUGCCUGUUCGAGCGUCAUUUCAACCCUCAAGCCCCCCGGGCUUGGUGUUGGAGAUCGGCCCGCCCCUGCGGCAGGCCGGCUCCGAAAUCCAGUGGCGGUCCCGCUGUAACUUCCUCUGCGUAGUAGCAAUAUCUCGCACCGGAAAGCGACGGAGCCUUGCCGUAAAACCCCCAACUUCUGAAGGUUGACCUCGGAUCAGGUAGGAAUACCCGCUGAACUUAAGCAUAUCAAUAAGCCGGAGA